UUUCCCCACCUCCCCGUCCCCCAGCUCGCAAAUAGAUCGUGCCCCACCCACGAUCCUCCGUACCGUUCCUCCCGCCGGCGAAAUAGAUCCUCGCUCCAUCCGUCCUCCCGCCGGCGAUCCUCCGGUGAUGCGCCGGGCGCCGCCCUCCCUCAUGCUUUCCAGCCUCGCCGGCUCUCGUCCCGCCCCUGCAACACCCUGCGCCACCCUCCGCCGCCGGCUGCCGUCGGCGGGCUUCCCGUCGGUGACCCACGGGCUACCCCCGCGAAGGGCUGCGCGGCCGGCCCCCCUCCCGACACGGCGAGGCACCCUCGCCUGUCCCCAAUCUCGCGAUUCGGGCCCUCCCCGGCGACCCUCUGGUGAGGCGCGGUCCUGUCCCCCCCCCUCGCCGUCCGGCGAGGUCCUACGCCGCCGGCUACCUGCAGCCUCUGGACGUCAGCGCGUCGCCCUCCCCGACGCGCUCCUCCUCCUCGUGCUUGCCUGCCUCGGAUCCACGGCCAAGGCUGCGCGCACAAGCAGUGUCGCUCGGCGGUGGCGCCCGCUCUGGACCGAGCUCGACGUGCUGGUGUUCCGCCGCGUCGACCCCGACACGCUCGCCGGCCUGCUCGCCAGGGCCAGGCACCCCAACCUCCGCCGCCUCGAGAUCUAGAUCUCCAUGCCGGACCGGGCGCUCCCGGCCUGGCAGAUGUCCUCGCUGUUCCGCACCGCCGAGGAGCACAACCCGGAGGAGCACGUCUUCAACGUGGCCAGCCGGGGCUACCUCGGCUUCCCGGCGCUCCCUCCUCCCUACAACGCCCCCUCCCGAUGGCGCUCCCCUCCUCCCGGGCCGAUGGCGUUGCCUCCGCCUGACGCCGCCCCUCCUCCUGAUGGCGCUCCCUCCUCCCAGCUCGUGGUCCGUUCCGGACGACGUUCCUCCCGUUGCUGAUCCGGGUACUGGCGCCGCCCACCGCCCGCUGCUGGCUAGCCCCUGCGUGUUCCCGCAUUCAUGGAGACGAUCUCCCGUUCCCAACGCCGCUAAAUCCUCCCAUCGCCAUUCCGCGAGUCCGAUCUGCCCUCCUGUCUCCGGCGAUCCUCCUCCGGCCUGCCUUCCUAUCAGUCUUAGCAUCAUUGAACUCUAUUGAACCGGCAUGCGGAUGCGGGGAAUUAGGCAACGGUGACGGCAUGGAGCUGGCAGUUGUGGGGGGUCCAACGGCAACGGCAUCGAGCAAGCUGCUAUGAGGUUUCUGGAGGUGGACAAUGAGUUUCACAUCACCGGAUCGGCAAGUGCAGCUGCGUACAGUGGUGGAAUUCCAGGUGACGAAAGGAAUAAUAAUUAAAGUCUGGGCACACACAGUUUGCACUAUCAAACUCUGCAGCUAAUGGAGGCAUUACCAAUUCAUCACGUCAAGGGAGAUAACUGUUAUUGUCUAGAUGGUGGUUUCAAUAGAGACUGUUUUGGAAUUGAUUACAUGGGCAAGCUCAAAGGCAUGCAUGUACCGCUACAAUUGGUCAAACCGAUCGGUGCUACUGUGAAUGGGGUUACAACAAAUAUGUCAGUGGUGGUGGCCAUCAUCAAGGAUGACAUACAUUCAUCGCUUCAGCUACUAGAAGAUUUGGCUCUCCUUUUAGAUACUCUAAGGCAGUAUAAUAUUGGAGACUCUUUGCUCGUGCAAACCCACUUCUGUCAUGAAGAGGAAGAUAACAAAACGGCCUUGUUUGAUCGGAUGCAUAAGCGUCUCAAGGUUAUCGAGAAGACAGAUGCAGCAAAAUAUACAAGGAUUAUGCAAACUAUACAACCUCCCGGUGUAAGUGUUUGGUUGGCAAGUGCAAUGGACAACACCCAUCUUCAUUGUUGUGUUCUCCGGUACGCUCCAUGAAACCGCUCUGCAACCAUCAACAUGGUUACCGUGGUACAGGCGUUCCUGACAAUAAGAGUUCAAUAUGCUGAUAACAUAGAUGAUUUCUUCACCUACCGGCGAAAUGACCAAGCUCAUUUGGAGGCGGACUACUCUGUGGAUACCAUACGACACAUCAAAGCUGCAAUAUUUGGACCAGCAGCUGGGCUCAAGGAAUGGCACCAUUUGCAAGACAGUGCAGCUGUAGCAAGAGCAGCAGCUCGGCCUGUAAUAACAGCAGCAGUUCAGCCUGUACUGCCACUUGCUGCUCGACUUUUGAAUCCAAUGCCACCAGCAAUAACUUUGGUGAUUGCAAACACCUUAUAUCAGUGGUGGCGGCCAUCAUCAAGCAUGGCAUACAUUCAUCGCUUCAGCUACCAGAAGAUUUGGCCCUCCUUUUAGAUACUCUGAGACAGUAUAACAUUGGAGACUCUUUGCUUGUGCAAACCCACUUCUGUCAUGAAGAGAAAGAUAACAAAGCGGUCUUGUUUGAUCGGAUGCAUAAUCGUCUCAAGGUUAUCGAGAAGACAGAUGUAGCAAAAUAUACAAAGAUUAUGCAAACUAUACAACCUCCCGGUGCAAGUGUUUGGUUGGCAAGUGCAAUGGAUAGCACCCAUCUUCAUUGUUGCGUUCUCCGGUACGCUCCAUGAAACCGCCCUACAACCAUCAACAUGGUUAACGUGGUACAGGCGUUUUUGACAACAAGAGUUCAAUAUGCUGAUAACAAAAAUGAUUUAUUCACCUGCCGGCAAAAUGGCCAAGCUCAUUUGGAGGCGGACUACUCUGUGGAUACCAUAGGACACAUCGAAGCUGCAAUAUUUGGGGCAGCAGCUAGGCUCAACGAAUGGCACCAUUUGCAACACAGUGCAGCUGGAGCAAGAGCAGUAGCUCGGCCUGUAAUAACAGCAGCAGUUCAGCCUGUACUGCCACUUGCUGCUCGACUUCUGAAUCCAAUGCCACCAGCAAUAGCUUUGGUGAUUGCAAACACCUUACAUCAGUGGUGGCCGCCAUCAUCAAGGAUGGCAUACAUUCAUCGCUUCAGCUAACAGAAGAUUUGGCCCUCCUUUUAGAUACUCUGAGACAGUAUAACAUUUGAGACUCUUUGCUCGCGCAAACCCACUUCUGUCAUGAAGAGAAAGAUAACAAAGCGGCCUUGUUUGAUCGGAAGCAUAAGCGUCUCAAGGUUAUCGAGAAGACAGAUGCAGCAAAAUAUACAAGGAUUAUGCAAGCUAUACAAUCUCCCGGUGCAAGUGUUUGGUUAGCAAGUGCAAUGAACAGCACCCAUCUUCAUUGUUGUGUUCUCCGGUACGCUCCAUGGAACCGCCCUGCAACCAUCAAAAUGGUUAACGUGGUACAGGCGUUCCUGACAAUAAGAGUUCAAUAUGCUGAUAACAUAGAUGAUUUCUUCACCUGCCGGCGAAAUAGCAAAGCUCAUUUGGAGGCGGACUACUCUGUGGAUACCAUAGGACACAUCGAAUCUGCAAUACUUGGGACAGCAGCUGGGCUCAAGGAAUGGCAUCAUUUGCAACACAGUGCAGCUGGAGCAAGAGCAGCAGCUCGGCCUGUAAUAACAGCAGCAGUUCAGCCUGUACUGCCACUUGCUGCUCGACUGCUGAAUCCAAUGCCACCAGCAAUAGCUUUGGUGAUUGCAAACAUCUUACAUCAGUGGUGGCCGCCAUCAUCAAGGAUGGCAUACAUUCAUCGCUUCAGCUAUCAGAAGAUUUGGCCUUCCUUUUAGAUACUCUGAGGCAGUAUAACAUUGGAGACUCUUUGCUCGUGCAAAUCCACUUCUAUCAUGAAGAGGAAGAUAACAAAGCGGCCUUGUUUGAUCGGAUGCAUAAGCGUCUCAAGGUUAUCGAGAAGACAUAUGCAGCAAAAUAUACAAAAAUUAUGCAAGCCAUACAACCUCCCGGUGCAAGUGUUUGGUUGGCAAGUGCAAUGGACAGCACCCAUCUUCAUUGUUGUGUUCUCCGGUACGCUUCAUGGAACCGCCUUGCAACCAUCAACAUGGUUAACGUGGUACAGGCGUUCCUGACAACAAGAGUUCAAUAUGCUGAUAACAUAGAUGAUUUCUUCACCUGCCGGUGAAAUAGCAAAGCUCAUUUGGAGGCGGACUACUCUGUGGAUACCAUAGGACACAUCGAAGCUGCAAUAUUUGGGGCAGCAGCUGGGCUUAAGGAAUGACACCAUUUGCAACACAGUGCAGCUGGAGCAAGAGCAGUAGCUCGGCCUGUAAUAACAGCAGCAGUUCAGCCUGUACUGCCACUUGCUGCUCGACUUCUGAAUCCAAUGCCACCAGCAAUAGCUUUGGUGAUUGCAAACACCUUACAUCAGUGGUGGCCGCCAUCAUCAAGGAUGGCAUACAUUCAUCGCUUCAGCUAUCAGAAGAUUUGGCUCUCCUUUUAGAUAUUUUGAGGCAGUAUAACAUUGGAGACUCUUUGCUCGUGCAAA